AAGCGGUGGAGCAUGUGGUUAAUUCGAAGCAACGCGAAGAACCUUACCAGGUCUUGACAUCCCGAUGCUAUUUCUAGAGAUAGAAAGGUUACUUCGGUACAUCGGUGACAGGUGGUGCAUGGUUGUCGUCAGCUCGUGUCGUGAGAUGUUGGGUUAAGUCCCGCAACGAGCGCAACCCCUAUUGUUAGUUGCCAUCAUUCAGUUGGGCACUCUAGCGAGACUGCCGGUAAUAAACCGGAGGAAGUGGGGAUGACGUCAAAUCAUCAUGCCCCUUAUGACCUGGGCUACACACGUGCUACAAUGGUUGGUACAACGAGUUGCGAGUCGGUGACGGCGAGCUAAUCUCUUAAAGCCAAUCUCAGUUCGGAUUGUAGGCUGCAACUCGCCUACAUGAAGUCGGAAUCGCUAGUAAUCGCGGAUCAGCACGCCGCGGUGAAUACGUUCCCGGGCCUU
rnacentral:rRNA from 1 species